UCGAUUCCCUUAGUAGCGGCGAGCGAAACGGGAAGAGCCCAAACCAACAAGCUUGCUUGUUGGGGUUGUAGGACACUCUAUACGGAGUUACAAAGGACGACAUUAGACGAAUCAUCUGGAAAGAUGAAUCAAAGAAGGUAAUAAUCCUGUAGUCGAAAAUGUUGUCUCUCUUGAGUGGAUCCUGAGUACGACGGAGCACGUGAAAUUCCGUCGGAAUCUGGGAGGACCAUCUCCUAAGGCUAAAUACUCUCUAGUGACCGAUAGUGAACCAGUACCGUGAGGGAAAGGUGAAAAGCACCCCGGAAGGGGAGUGAAAUAGAACCUGAAACCGUGUGCUUACAAGUAGUCAGAGCCCGUUAAUGGGUGAUGGCGUGCCUUUUGUAGAAUGAACCGGCGAGUUACGAUUUGAUGCAAGGUUAAGCAGUAAAUGUGGAGCCGUAGCGAAAGCGAGUCUGAAUAGGGCGUUUAGUAUUUGGUCGUAGACCCGAAACCAGGUGAUCUACCCUUGGUCAGGUUGAAGUUCAGGUAACACUGAAUGGAGGACCGAACCGACUUACGUUGAAAAGUGAGCGGAUGAACUGAGGGUAGCGGAGAAAUUCCAAUCGAACCUGGAGAUAGCUGGUUCUCUCCGAAAUAGCUUUAGGGCUAGCCUCAAGUGAUGAUUAUUGGAGGUAGAGCACUGUUUGGACGAGGGGCCCCUCUCGGGUUACCGAAUUCAGACAAACUCCGAAUGCCAAUUAAUUUAACUUGGGAGUCAGAACAUGGGUGAUAAGGUCCGUGUUCGAAAGGGAAACAGCCCAGACCACCAGCUAAGGUCCCAAAAUAUAUGUUAAGUGGAAAAGGAUGUGGCGUUGCCCAGACAACUAGGAUGUUGGCUUAGAAGCAGCCAUCAUUUAAAGAGUGCGUAAUAGCUCACUAGUCGAGUGACACUGCGCCGAAAAUGUACCGGGGCUAAACAUAUUACCGAAGCUGUGGAUUGUCCUUUGGACAAUGGUAGGAGAGCGUUCUAAGGGCGUUGAAGCAUGAUCGUAAGGACAUGUGGAGCGCUUAGAAGUGAGAAUGCCGGUGUGAGUAGCGAAAGACGGGUGAGAAUCCCGUCCACCGAUUGACUAAGGUUUCCAGAGGAAGGCUCGUCCGCUCUGGGUUAGUCGGGUCCUAAGCUGAGGCCGACAGGCGUAGGCGAUGGAUAACAGGUUGAUAUUCCUGUACCACCUAUAAUCGUUUUAAUCGAUGGGGGGACGCAGUAGGAUAGGCGAAGCGUGCGAUUGGAUUGCACGUCUAAGCAGUAAGGCUGAGUAUUAGGCAAAUCCGGUACUCGUUAAGGCUGAGCUGUGAUGGGGAGAAGACAUUGUGUCUUCGAGUCGUUGAUUUCACACUGCCGAGAAAAGCCUCUAGAUAGAAAAUAGGUGCCCGUACCGCAAACCGACACAGGUAGUCAAGAUGAGAAUUCUAAGGUGAGCGAGCGAACUCUCGUUAAGGAACUCGGCAA
rnacentral:rRNA from 1 species